rnacentral:rRNA from 1 species
CUCGGGUAGUAGGUAAGCGAUGGGGUGACGCAGGAAGGUAGUCCAGCCCAGGCGAUGGUUGUCCUGGGGUAAGCAUGUAGGGCGUGUCGUAGGUAAAUCCGCGGCAUUUAAGCCUGAGAUGUGAUGCCGAGCCGAUUGUGGUGAAGUGGAUGAUCCUAUGCUGCCGAGAAAAGCCUCUAGUGAGUGUUGUGGCGGCCCGUACCCUAAACCGACUCAGGUGGUCAGGUAGAGAAUACCAAGGCGAUCGGGUGAACUGUGGUUAAGGAACUCGGCAAAUUCCCCCGUAACUUCGGGAGAAGGGGGACCUCUGUUGGUGAUGGGCUUUACGCCUGGAGCUGGUGGGGGUCGCAGUGGCCAGGGGGAAGCGACUGUUUACUAAAAACACAGGUCCGUGCGAAGUCGUAAGACGAUGUAUACGGACUGACGCCUGCCCGGUGCCGGAACGUUAAGGGGACCGCUUAGCUGACGUGAGUUGGCGAAGGUGAGAACUUAAGCGCCGGUAAACGGCGGUGGUAACUAUAACCAUCCUAAGGUAGCGAAAUUCCUUGUCGGGUAAGUUCCGACCUGCACGAAUGGCGUAACGACUUCCCCGCUGUCUCAACCGCAGACCCGGCGAAAUUGCACUACGAGUAAAGAUGCUCGUUUCGCGCAGCAGGACGGAAAGACCCCGGGACCUUCACUACAGCUUGACAUUGGCGUUUGGAACGUCUUGUGUAGGAUAGGUGGGAGACUGGGAAGCUGUCACGCUAGUGAUGGUGGAGUCAUUGGUGAAAUACCACUCUGGUCGUUUUGAACGUCUAACUCUGGUCCGUGAUCCGGAUCGGGGACAGUGUCUGGUGGGUAGUUUAACUGGGGCGGUUGCCUCCUAAAGAGUAACGGAGGCGCCCAAAGGUUCCCUCAGCCUGGUUGGCAAUCAGGUGUUGAGUGUAAGUGCACAAGGGAGCUUGACUGUGAGACUGACAGGUCGAGCAGGAGCGAAAGCUGGGACUAGUGAUCCGGCAUCGGCGUGUGGAAGCGGUGUCGCUCAACGGCUAAAAGGUACCCCGGGGAUAACAGGCUGGUCUUCCCCAAGAGUCCAUAUCGACGGGAUGUUUGGCACCUCGAUGUCGGCUCGUCGCAUCCUGGGGCUGGAGUAGGUCCCAAGGGUUGGGCUGUUCGCCCAUUAAAGCGGUACGCGAGCUGGGUUUAGAACGUCGCGAGACAGUUCGGUCCCUAUCCGCUGCGCGCGCAGGAGACUUGAAGGGGGCUGUCCCUAGUACGAGAGGACCGGGACGGACGAACCUCUGGUGUGCCAGUUGUACCGCCAGGUGCACGGCUGGUUGGCUACGUUCGGAAGGGAUAACCGCUGAAAGCAUCUAAGCGGGAAGCUCGCCUUGAGAUGAGGUCUCCCACCACGAGAGUGGGUAAGGCUCCCGGUAGACGACCGGGUUGAUAGGCCGGAGGUGGAAGCACGGUAACGUGUGGAGCUGACCGGUACUAAUAGGCCGAGGACUUGACC